UUUGUGCUCCAGGGUCACAAAUAGUUAUCAAGCAGUCUAAGAAAUAAGCAAUCAUCAAAAAGGGCUAACUUUAUUACAUUUAAACAGUUAAGAAGCAAUGAAGAAGGCCUGAAGAUGAAAACAUGAGACUGUUUCGCUCUCUUUCAGCCUCCCUCCAAACUCCUCUCCAGUAUUCUGGGCAAGAGUAACCUGCAGUUUGCUGGGAUGAGCAUCAACCUCAACAUAUCCACCAGCAGUUUGAACCUGAUGACACCGGACUCCAAACAGAUAAUAGCCAAUCAUCACAUGCAGUCCAUAUCCUUUGCCUCCGGUGGAGAUCCGGUAAGACUUUCCAGCAUCACACCCGUGAUUCAUUCCUCAGCUGACUCUCAGUCUCACCACACUUUAUGGCAAUCUCAGAGAGCUCAGAAAAGAGUGUUUAAGGGCAUAUCGAAUAGAAUGACUUCAGUGUUCCUGUGAAUAAAGGAGCCAUAAUAAAUGUUUUAGUAGUACUUUAUCUUAUUUGUAA
ensembl:lncRNA